GGCAUCCUACGGGGGGCAGCAGUGAGGAAUAUUGGUCAAUGGGCGAGAGCCUGAACCAGCCAAGUCGCGUGAGGGAAGACGGUCCUAUGGAUUGUAAACCUCUUUUGUCGGGGAGCAAAAAGGCCUCGUGAGGCCACAAGUGAGAGUACCCGAAGAAAAAGCAUCGGCUAACUCCGUGCCAGCAGCCGCGGUAAUACGGAGGAUGCGAGCGUUAUCCGGAUUUAUUGGGUUUAAAGGGUGCGUAGGCGGGUUAUCAAGUCAGCGGUAAAAUCGUGGAGCUCAACUCCAUCCAGCCGUUGAAACUG
rnacentral:rRNA from 1 species